UGCGGUUAAAAAGCUCGUAGUUGGAUCUUGGGGUGUGAGCGCGCGGUCGCUCGACAGAGCGCACUGUUCGGCACACUCUUCCAUUUGGUUGCGCGUGUUUGUGCUCUUAACUGAGUGCAACACUCGACCAGAAAUUUUACCUUGAAAAAAUUAGAGUGUUCAAAGCAGACCUGAUUGUGUCUGAAUAUUCGUGCAUGGAAUAAUAAAAUAUGAAUUCGGUUCUAUUUUAUUGGUUUUCGGAACCCGAGUUAAUGAUUAAGAGGGACAGACGGGGGCAUCCGUACUCUGCCGUUAGAGGUGAAAUUCUUGGAUCGGCGGAAGACGCGCAACUGCGAAAGCAUUUGCCAAGAAUGUUUUCUUUAAUCAAGAACGAUAGUCGGAGGUUCGAAGACGAUCAGAUACCGUCCUAGUUUCGACUGUAAACUAUGCCAGCUAACGAUCAGACAGCGUUCUCUACGACUUGUCUGGCAGUUUCCGGGAAACCAAAGCUUUUGGGUUCCGGGGGAAGUAUGGUUGCAAAGCUGAAACUUAAAGGAAUUGACGGAAGGGCACCACCAGGAGUGGAGCCUGCGGCUUAAUUUGACUCAACACGGGGAAACUCACCCGGCCCGGACACAGUGAGGAUUGACAGAUUGAGAGUUCUUUCUUGAUUCUGUG
rnacentral:rRNA from 1 species